UUCCGGUUGAUCCUGCCGGACCUGACUGCUAUCGGAUUGGUACUAAGCCAUGUGAGUCAUUGUAGCAAUACAAGGCAUACGGCUCAGUAACACGUAGUCAAUCUGCCCUAUGGACGUGGAUAACCUCGGGAAACUGAGAAUAAUCCGCGGUAGAUCAUAAUGCCUGGAACGGUUUAUGGUCCAAAUGAUUCGUCGCCAUAGGAUGGGACUGCGGCCUAUCAGCUUGUUGGUGAGGUAAUGGCCCACCAAGGCUAUUACAGGUACGGGCUCUGAGAGGAGAAGCCCGGAGAUGGGUACUGAGACACGGACCCAGGCCCUAUGGGGCGCAGCAGGCGAGAAACCUUUGCAAUGUGCGCAAGCACGACAAGGUUAAUCCGAGUGUUUCCUGCUAAAGGAAUCUUUUGUUAGUUCUAAAACCACUGAUGAAUAAGGGGUGGGCAAGUUCUGGUGUCAGCCGCCGCGGUAAACCAGCACCUCAGUGGUCAGGAUGAUUAU
rnacentral:rRNA from 1 species